UACGUAGGGUGCAGGCGUUGUCCGGAAUUAUUGGGCGUAAAGAGCUCGUAGGCGGUCUGUUGCGUCGGCUGUGAAAACCCGGGGCUCAACCCCGGGCCUGCAGCCGAUACGGGCAGACUAGAGUUCGGCAGGGGAGACUGGAAUUCCUGGUGUAGCGGUGAAAUGCGCAGAUAUCAGGAGGAACACCGGUGGCGAAGGCGGGUCUCUUGGCCGAUACUGACGCUGAGGAGCGAAAGCGUGGGGAGCGAACAGG
rnacentral:rRNA from 1 species